GAUGAACGCUGGCGGCGUGCCUAAUACAUGCAAGUCGAGCGAACGGACGAGAAGCUUGCUUCUCUGAUGUUAGCGGCGGACGGGUGAGUAACACGUGGAUAACCUACCUAUAAGACUGGGAUAACUUCGGGAAACCGGAGCUAAUACCGGAUGAUAUUUUGAACCGCAUGGUUCAAAAGUGAAAGACGGUUUUGCUGUCACUUAUAGAUGGAUCCGCGCUGCAUUAGCUAGUUGGUAAGGUAACGGCUUACCAAGGCAACGAUGCAUAGCCGACCUGAGAGGGUGAUCGGCCACACUGGAACUGAGACACGGUCCAGACUCCUACGGGAGGCGGCAGUAGGGAAUCUUCCGCAAUGGGCGAAAGCCUGACGGAGCAACGCCGCGUGAGUGAUGAAGGUCUUCGGAUCGUAAAACUCUGUUAUUAGGGAAGAACAUAUGUGUAAGUAACUGUGCACAUCUUGACGGUACCUAAUCAGAAAGCCACGGCUAACUACGUG
rnacentral:rRNA from 1 species